rfam:Myotis davidii contig117273, whole genome shotgun sequence.
AACCUCCAGUUCCCUUUCCAUCGGAUCUGAACACCAAUCUUGUUGGUCGUAGAGGAAGAAAAGUAAUAGUAAAGCUGGCCUCACAGUGCUUACAGUCUGUGGGCUAGUUUCAAACAAGG